rnacentral:lncRNA from 1 species
CCAGAUGAUGCAGAGCAGCGACUGAGGCCUCACCCCCUGAUGCGAGGUUUCCAGCAGGCAUCUGCACGUCGCCGAGUCAGCAUCGCUGUCAUCCCAAAGCAGCUCUUGGUAAGGACAUGCUCAGUGGGGACAGAUGGACUUGGUGCCAUCAGGUCUGGGUGUUCACGUUCCCUCCUUUGGUGCCCAGCCAGCUUCUGGCGUGGAUGGCCGAGCAACCCUAGCUGGUGGGCCUGAGGGUGCCCAACACCAGACCAGCACCCAGAGGGGCAAACUGGAGCCACCAAGCCAGGGCAACGUGGUGAGCGAGGGGCUAGUGGUGGAAGCGGUUGGCAAGGAGUUGGAAUCAAUUGCAGGGGACAAGGAGCUGGGGCAGCUCAGGAUGAUGUCCAAGGAGUCCUCUGUGGAGCUGUGGCAGCCGUGGCUCUUCAUCUCACAGCCCUACUGGGUUGUGUUCUGUCUGCUUCUCCUGAGCAUCGCCUUCCUCCUCCUUCUCCACCUUUUGGAUCUGCAGCGGCUGCAGCCCGCAGCAUCACCCAAAGCUUAGCUGCACCCACUCCCCAUCGCUGCCCCCGAUUCCCCCCCCCCCCCCCCCCCCCCCUUCCCCCCGAAACCACAGAGGCCCUAGAAUAAUAAAAUUGGAGGAAAAAAAAUGGGGAGUUUUGAU